CACCGCGGUUAUACGAGAGGCCCGAGUUGAUAAUUCUCGGCGUAAAGAGUGGUUAUGAAAUGUAUAAACUAAAGCCGCACCCCUUCAAAGCUGUCGCACGCACUCGAAGGCCAGAAGCUCAACCACGAAGGUGGCUUUAUAACCCACACCCCACGAAAGCUAUGGCA
rnacentral:rRNA from 1 species